CAGUCGUGAAAUCCUUAUCUGCUUCAUUCUUCUUCCAUACAUGAUAUACAAGGUUAUCAUUAGUCCAAAUUAAAGCAGUUCUUGUGAUGCUCGAUACUGUUGGCAGGAGGUACGAAAUUGUUUGAUCUAUCAAGCAUGGAUUGUUGACGGCAACCACGGGAGGGGGUCGGGGCGAUCGAAGAGUAAGGCGUGGGUGACUCCGGCGAGAUGUGGCUAGAGCGGAUGUCGAUGAUGCGGCAAUGAGAAGACCCUCUUUGUGAGCCCUAUCCCUCUCAUUUAGCGUCUCAAUUUUUGGUUCUCGUGCUCGUGUUUCUCUGUUCUUCAUUUGCGAUGAUGGAUCAGAAAGCCCCAGAUAGUACUGUUUUAGUGUUCUAUGAUUGAAAUAAAUUUAUAUACUGCGAACGAGCACAUAAGAAAUAUAGGAAAAAUCUUUAAAAAAAUUGAUCACUAUUUGCAAAUUUCAGCUUCACAAUUCAUAGAUCCUGGCGUCUCGCACUAAGAAAGCACAACAAUAAAAGGCGCAUUCUACCGCCAUUGCAGAGUGCAGGCAUGGAAGGGGUGGUAAGCCAAGAGAUAGUCGGGACUCAAAAAACUGUUGAAUGUGUGGAUGGGGUAGCUCAAGUAUAGAUUCUGAAAAGAGGAAAAGGCGCUAAAGUUGUCCUAGAAGAAAUUAUUUUUCAUACAUAUUUUGAUACUGAUAAGGAACUACUCAAAAGAGAAGUUUCAAGGAACUAAUCAACAGAGUGCAGUACGUUGAAAUACCUAAUUCAACAUGUUGGUGAUACACUGAUCGUGGAUGGGGUAUGAUUUUCUGGUUAUAUACUGCAACAUUUUGAAUUAGGUAAAAUGAAGCUAAGGUGAACAAACUCAAACCACGAUCAGUGUAUCACCACCUGCCAGUGAAGCUCCAUUUUUCUAUAGUUAAGCCACGACAAUGGUUUAGAAAACGAAUCGACUCUACCAUACUUGAUUACUGCAUUCCAAAGUCCAAACACUACAGAAAAAGGUUUUUCAUUUACGGUAAACAGUACUCUUGUACUGCAUAUAUUCAUAAAUCUAUAGAAAAGGUUUUGACUUUCAGUACAAAAAAAUAUAAUCUUAAUAUUCUAUAAUCCCGAGUUAUCCAAGUUCGACCACCAUGAAUGAUUAACGAGAUUCAAGCUGAUUUGGUCAGAGUUGCAAAAACUUGUACAUCUCCUGGAUAACAGUUUUGGUGAUACUCUGAAAUGAGUUUUCCUGCAAAGAUAGGCGUGAAAAGUCUGACCAAAAAGCAGAGAGGUGUUACUAAGGAGUGCUCAAGCAUGGAAACGAAAAAAGGAAUUAUUUUAGUCAAAAAUGGAAUUUGGUGUUUUUUUCCUGCAUAGACACGAUUCCUGAUAAAUACAUGAAGCACUGAGGCACCAUUGUGCUAGCAAACUGCAUAUCCGUAUUUAAUCGAACCAGCUAUUGUCCUAUUUUUUACACCCAUAAUGCACUUCUAAGAUAAGUGUAUCUAUAUUCUGGCAAUUUUUAUUUGUUCAACACUGUCUUGUGGCAGCAACUUGUCAUCACAUUCAGAAGAGAGACCCGACCAACUAUAGGCCACGGAUAAACAAACUAGACUCUACAAAAGACAAAAAACAAAAUUCUAUAGGGUCCUACUACUACCUCUGAUACAGGCACCACGGAUGAUACUUUGGUACCAUUGCAGUGCCUUCUUUGCUUGUUGGGUUGCUUGUUGUUUGAUAAGAAAAUGAAUUGGAUUGUCCGAGGGGAGGAGAGAACUCAACGUGUGAUUAUAGGGUACUGAACUUCUAAAUUAGAACCUGGCCUAAAUUUGAGAUUUCCCAAAUGUAUACUUUUGUUUUCAUUCAUUCUUUGGAGGUGAUCCGUUGGUUACUUAAUGCUCUUUACUGUAUGAGUAAAUUUCUUUUUCUUUAUUUCUAUACUCAGUUUUCUUUCUCCAUGAAGAUUCCUAUACACCCACCCAACGAUGGUUCUGUUUUCAAGAACCUUACAAAAUUUUCUCCUUUAGACAUGGAUAUUAAGAAGGUGCCGCACAUGUAUGGAUGCAGAGACAACAUCCAUUCUUUACUUCUAAUUUGAACUCAUGCCGAUGCUGAUUCAAUAGAAUACGCCUAAAAUUACUUUUGUUUUGGUAUAUAAUGCAUACUUGCAGACAUCUAAGUAGCAAUAUGUUAUAUAAUAUAUGCUGUUGUUUAUCCUUUUUUUAUUUUAACCGACAAAUAAUUUGAGAGCUUAAAACUCCUACUACAUUAUGAUAAAUAAGAAGGAACAGAAUGGCAAUAUAUUGGCCUCUCUUUUUUUACCAGAAACAAGUUAUAUAGUUCGCGUCCAUGGAGAGUUGAUGCAUUGUCUAGCAUUUGGAACUUUAAUCUUGGUUGUGUAGGCACUUCUGAAUGUUUGGAAGUUACGUGUCCAAUAUGCUCUCGGUUUGUAUUUAGCUCGUGGAUCUCUCUAAGAUUCCAAUUAAGGCAUGACUUUAUUAUACAACAAUUACAGAGGAGAAGGGCGUCUCAUUUCCUUUAGUAGAUACAAUGGAUGACACAACAGAGGGUUGAGGACUUGAAGUAGAUCUUCACCAAUCAUUUUAUCAUAUGCUUUGACAAUCACUGGGGAAGUUGCAUUGCAAAACUGCAGGCUUUUCUGUUGACGGUAUGGCAUCUUAAUCCUUCCUUUUUGUUACUAAUAAUUGUUGUUUAGGUUUACAAGAUCUACAUAGGCUACCAGAGAUUAAUUAAGUAGGAUGUUGGAGGUUAGUUAGGGUGAUGUUGUAUGUGUUUUGCACGUCCUCCCUACGAACCUAGGAAUAGUCAUACCUGUUUGUUAGGAAUGCAGGUUCUGGUUUUCAUUAGAAUCGCAUAUUGUUUGUUUAGCAGUAUUGUCGGUGGUGACACAGGGUUUGCUUUUUGAGAUGUAGGUUUUGCUUCCGGUGACACCCUAGGAAUUUGCUUUUAAAUUUGAAUUUAAAAUCAAACACUUGUUAAUUUUACACUCAUUUACAUAUUUAUGUUAGUAUAGUUGUCUCACCCAUUGAUGCAGAGCUCCCGGCCUUCUCAGCCUGGCAUUGGCACAUCAAUAAGGGCUUCAAAGAGGAGGUACAACCUACUAUCUGCUGAAUUGAUCUUGAUCAAGUGGAUGUCGGCGUGGCACUGGACCUAUGCUUCGCAGUGGCGGCGACGACACCGUUCUGGAAGCAGUGGGGGCGGUGGGCCACGCCCGUGCCGUCGCUGACACUCCAGCUGCACGGUGCCGGCUGGGAGUCGCUGACACUCCACCUGAACAGCACCGGCUGGCAGUUGCCGUGUGAUAACUACAUGUUCGAAACACGAUGGCCGGCGCAAUGUGACAAGCUCACAACGUCGUUAUAGUGUUUUUUUUUUACAAAGGUAGACCUUGUAUUAUGGAUCAGGUGAAACACACCGAUGUGUUAGUGGUAUUGAACUGAAGCAAUGAUUUUUCAAUGAAAUGUGAUCUGGAUUGUAAAGCUGA